CGCUCUGAUACCAAUUGAAGAAAAGAAAAAUUGUUUCUCUUCAAAUAAUUAGGAUUGUAUCUAAAAUAUUUUUACUAAUAUAUAUGAAUAAAGAUCAGAUCCUUAUCUGAAUAGUAAUAGAAUUAAAGAUGAAAUCUUCAAAAAUUUGAAAUAAAUCUUUGCGGAGGUCUGGAAGUACUGACCUUCUACUUCGUAUGCACG
rnacentral:lncRNA from 1 species